AGCUCCAAUAGCGUAUAUUAAAGUUGUUGCAGUUAAAAAGCUCGUAGUUGAAGUGUCGACAGAGUCAUGUUGAAACAUUGCCGAGGUAGUGUUGACGUGACAUUUGUCAGCGCAAUGGAUAUUCUGGGUGCUUCGUUGCACUCAGAUGUACAUUUGGUUUUACUUUGAGAAACAUAGGGUGUUUCAAGCAUGUUGAUAGCAUGUAUAUUCCAGCAUGGGAUGAUUUGACGCGACUUUGGUGCUGCCAUUUGGUUCGUGGUGCCAGAGUCAUGAUUAAUAGGGACUGUCGGGGGCAUUGGUAUUUAACUGUCAGAGGUGAAAUUCUUAGAUUUGUUAAGGACUGACUACUGCGAAAGCAUUUGUCAAGAAUGUCUCCA
rnacentral:rRNA from 1 species